AUUCGGGGUUCGAUUCUUGGGUGUACCAGUGAUGAAAUGACGUUAAUCUGCUGUUCACGUAGUGAUCAUACGUUUGAAGUGAACGUUUGUCAUAAGUCUGAGGUCGUAUCAUCCAGGGAGAUUCAUUC